UCGAGAAUUUUUCUCAAUGGGGGAAACCCUGAAGGAGCGACGCCGCGUGGGGGAUGAAUGGCUUCGGCCCGUAAACCCCUGUCAUUUGCGAUCAAACCUUACGACCUAACACGUCGUAAGCUGAUAGUAGCGGAAGAGGAAGGGACGGCUAACUCUGUGCCAGCAGCCGCGGUAAUACAGAGGUCCCAAGCGUUGUUCGGAUUCACUGGGCGUAAAGGGUGCGUAGGCGGUCGGGUAAGUCUGACGUGAAAUCUUCAAGCUCAACUUGGAAACUGCGUCGGAUACUAUUCGGCUAGAGGAAUGGAGGGGAGACUGGAAUACUUGGUGUAGCAGUGAAAUGCGUAGAUAUCAAGUGGAACACCAGUGGCGAAGGCGAGUCUCUGGACAUUUCCUGACGCUGAGGCACGUAAGCCAGGGGAGCAAACGGGAUUAGAUACCCCGGUAGUCCUGGCCCUAAACGGUGCACGUUUGCUGUAAGAGGAAUCGACCCCUUUUGUGGCGAAGCUAACGCGUUAAACGU
rnacentral:rRNA from 1 species